rnacentral:misc_RNA from 1 species
GAUGAAGAACGUAGCGAAAUGCGAUAAGUAGUGUGAAUUGCAGAAUUCAGUGAAUCAUCGAAUCUUUGAACGCACAUUGCGCCCUUGGUAUUCCUUAGGGCAUGCCUGUUCGAGCGUCAUUUAAACCUUCAAGCUAAGCUUGGUGUUGGGUGACUGUCCGCUUCACGGCGGACUCGCCUCAAAAUUAUUGGCGGCCGGUACAUUGGCUUCGAGCGCAGCAGAAACGCGAACUCGGGCCCGUCGUAUUGGCUCCCAGAAGCUAUCUUCACAAUUUUGACCUCGGAUCAGGUAGGGAUACCCGCUGAACUUAAGCAUAUCAAUAAGCGGAGGA